rnacentral:rRNA from 1 species
UCGUAACACUUUCAACAACGGAUCUCUUGGUUCUGGCAUCGAUGAAGAACGCAGCGAAAUGCGAUAAGUAAUGUGAAUCGCAGAAUUUAGUGAACCAUCAAAUCUUUGAACGCACAUUGCGCCCGCCAGCAUUCUGGCGGGCAUGCCUGUCCGAGAGUCAUUUCCACCCUCACGC